rnacentral:tRNA from 1 species
CGGGGAGUGGCGCAGCGGUAGCGCACCUGCUUUGGGAGCAGGAGGUCGGGGGUUCAAAUCCCCCCUCCCCGACCA